rnacentral:tRNA from 1 species
GCUGCGGUGGUGCAAUGGUAGCACUCGAUGCUUAUAUUUAGAGGAUUUUUUGCGGGGACGCUUUUAAAGUGCUCCGUUCGAAACCUCGUAUGCCCUUUGCGAGAUUCAUUUCUUGCCUCCUUUCCUCAUCACCUGCGGGGAGAUACGUCGCCGAUGUGGGUUCGAGUCCCACCCACAGCA